AUAUAUAUAUUAAUAUAUAUAUAUAUAUAUAUGUCUGUGUUAUGCUUACUAUACACUUUUAUAAACUAUGUUUUGAUAAUUCAUUUCUUAACAGAAGAACUUGUCCAUAUACUAUAAUCGUUACUGCUGAUUACUGAAAAUAAAUAGCUGAACAAAUCCGUGUGUUCAAUGGGUUCUGCUCAUCUACAUCGAGUCACGUGACCUCCCUGCUUGCUUCAUUAGGGACGAUACCGUUUAUUUAUGUGUAAUCAUUAUUGUGUGUCGUCAUAGUGUGUCAUUAAAAUGUCAUGAGUUGUGUGAGGGAGCAGUGUGUUGCUAGAGGGCACGUCGGCGAGGAAAUAAACCGCAGAUCCUCUUUUUGAUUAAUGGCACUCGACCACCGAGCAGUCACCCCACGAAAAACGAUGUCAUAAAACAUGGAAUGUUGUCAAAUAUGAUAGUAUAAUAUGUCAUAGGAGUAAAUAAAAAGCUUCUACAAUUUCAUUUGACGCUGACGUUACAUCUGAUAAUUCUGCUGUCUAACAUAGUAACUCUAAUUGGAAGGCUAGUAAUGCUAACAUGAAGGCUAACACAGCACAGCUAGUAAUGCUAACAUGAAGGCUAACAGCACAGCUAGUAAUGCUAACAUGAAGGCUAACACAGCACAGCUAUUAAUGCUAACAUGAAGGCUAACAGCACAGCUAGUAAUGCUAACAUGAAGGCUAACACAGCACAGCUAGUAAUGCUAACAUGAAGGCUAACAGCACAGCUAGUAAUGCUAACAUGAAGGAUAACAGCACAGCUAGUAAUGCUAACAUGAAGGCUAACAGCACAGCUAGUAAUGCUAACAUGAAGGCUAACACAGUAAGUAGUGACUUGGUUUUUGGAUUCUGCCAUCUGCUGGUUAUAAUGUGUGAAACUACUCCACCUGCAUGUCACUGAUGGUGUUCCACGCAUCCCCUAAUUGUGAGGCUUUUUUAAAAUAACGUCUCCAAAGAAUUUUGGGGGGACGAGUCGUAUUUAAAGUGUUUUGCCGGGAAAACACUUUUCAUGGCUCGCCGCCAACUUGUAAGUCAAUUUUGGCGCCGAGGAAUCUGUUGCACGUGGAGUGAAUCUGCAGACUGCUUCUCAUUACUACUGGAGAAUAUAUGAUAUAUACGAUAUGUUUCCAGCAUUGAUGGUAAUUUGGGGAACACAGCGGUUCCUGCAGAGCGGCUCCCGGUAUCUCACAGUCCAGCUGAGUUUUGGAUUUCAGUGUUAUUCUGCAAUUUUGUUCAUACACCAUUGAAACAUCCAGCUCAGGGAUCGGCUGAGAUUCCAACCUCCAUAACGCCACAAACCGCAGCGACUCACGACUUCCUGUUUCCUGCUACGCAACACAACAGCCUUUCAGAUCAGAGGAGACACAAGACGAUAAAAACGUCCUCUUCUUCUGUUGACACUGAAGACGUGUAGCAGAGAGACAAGUCCUGCUCAAACAGUGUCCAAUACAGUGUUCCCAAUGAUGAAGACGAUGAUGAUGAUGUGGAGCAGGGAUGCAGAGGAGCUUGUGACCUUCUCAGCUCAUAAGCUUUAUUUCAACCAACCACGUGCCGGCUGACGGGUUCAUCAGUCGAGCAAACGAGUCGUGAAGUAUCGGCAACCAGACGGAACAGAAUCGAUAUGAAACGCAGAACGAGCCUCUUGUCUGUCGGAAGCGAUUCGCACUGAUGGAGUCAGACUGGCUUCCUCGUGAGAUUCAAUGUGUGUUUGGGAAGCAAAGAUUGCUAAUUAGCAUUAGCUUUCCAUUAGCUCCCGCGGUUUUCGGCCUCGGCGGUCGACCUGGCCGGCGCCCUGAUGUGGAGGGUCAAACGUAUAAAACAUAAGUUCAUCUUUUUAGGCUCCAAAAUGAAAACGGCUGACGACGCUGCGCUUUUCAGAAAGACAUUUUCACGUGGUCACAACUCAUGAUUUAUUUACUACAAAACAUUAUUCAAAAUGAACCAAACACCUUUGUAUUAUAAUUCCAGGGUUUCUCCUAGUUUACAACUUUGCAGGGGGAGCGGUUCUCGUUUCUAUUUCUGUACAGACACAUGGACACACAUACGCCACAUGUGUAUAUAUAUAUGUGUAUAUAUAUAUGUAUAUAUAUGGUCAUGUAUAUGACCAGAUAGAAACGAUCAAAACACUAAACUGACCUAAUUUACCUGUAGGACUUCAGAAAAGCAAAAACACACAUGAACAAAGCAAAACAGCAACAUUAGGUUUAUAUUUCAGAUAAAAUGUGAUCUGAUCAAAAUACUCAAAUGUGAAUUCAUCCAAUGAUGAAAAUGUCCCCCUCAAAAAGGUUUGUUUGAUAAAAACUACCCAAAAACACUACCCUAAAAUCAUUUAUUUAUUUUAACCCUAAAAGUUAUACAUGGAAAUAAUUGGAAUGGAAUUAAAGAAACUACCAAAAUAUCAGUUUUUUACUAAGUUUACUGUAAUAAUAGUUAAAAGAUGACUUAAUCUUAAAAGUUAAACUCGUCAAGCUGGAAUGAAAUGUAAGAAAUUAGGAUAAUUACUUAAUAUUCUGCAAUAAGAGGUUAGACAUCUUUAUUUAUAUAAUCUAUAUCUCAUUUUCUUUCCUGAACAAAUUAUCUUUUUUUUAAUUAACAAAAAAAGUCAGGACAUAAAGAAAAGAAAAGUUAAGGAAAAAUGAUCCAUAUAAAACAAUUAGUCAUUCUUCAAAGCUUUAAUGAAUAAGAAGAUGCUAAAAUGUAUGCAAAAAUAAAACUUCAAUAACAGAAUCAUUUUCAUCCCGAGGUUUGAACUGAUAUUUACCAAUAAAAUCCUUCCAGCUGCUGCACAGACUGAAACCUCUGGAGGAGCAAAGUGUGAGCAAAGGAGACAUGAGACCAAGUACACUGAACAAUCCGUUUCUUUAUUCAUUUUUUGUUUUCAUUUCAAUAUGUCUGUCAGGGUUUUUUUUGUUGAAGAUUUUAUUUUAAAUUAAAAUUUUGACACACUUAUAAAAGACAGCAUCUGCAUAGAGUUGUCAUCUUAAAGAUCCAUGAAGGGGGGGGGGUAAAAGGGGAGGGAUACUGGCACGUCACAUGAACUAAACAGAACAGCCAACAGCAGUACGAGAGAGGAGGGGGAGGAGGGGGAGGACAGGGAGGAAGGGUGGGACGGGGCGUGGAGGGGGGACAGAUCUCUUUUACAUUACGCUACGCACACAUACACACAAAAAAGAAACGGGAGACAAGUUGCAUUUCCAGUCAAAGUUGUUGUGGAGAGCGACGCUCUGUCCUUCAGUGGGUGUGUUGUUUUAGUGACCCCCCCUCUUGUCUUACCCCCCCCUGCAUUCUGAGUUAAAGCUGUGAAUGGGGUCCCUGCUGGAGGCGUGAGCUCAUCAUGGACAAAAGCCCUGGUUUCUCUGAAUAUUUAUAUCGCGCGUUGCAGUCGGCCUUUGAGGCCGGACCCGCCGACCCACAUGGGGGGGGGGGGGGGGGGGGUAACUUCGUCCUCAGAACGUUUGAAGGCGCGAAGCUGCUUCCGAUGAGGAGCUCAGCUUUGAGUGGCUUCCCCAUCUUUGAGAAACUGACACUAAAACCUCCUCCAGGAACCCGGACAAAUACGUGAUGGUGAGCGGCCCAUUGACUUACAGUGGGACUGAGACGAGGUCAGACCAUUGACUUACAGUGGGACUGAGACAAGGUCAGACCAUUGACUUACAGUGGGACUGAGACGAGGUCAGACCAUUGACUUACAGUGGGACUGAGACGAGGUCAGUCCAUUGACUUACAGUGGGACUGAGACGAGGUCAGACCAUUGACUUACAGUGGGACUGAGACAAGGUCAGACCAUUGACUUACAGUGGGACUGAGACGAGGUCAGACCAUUGACUUACAGUGGGACUGAGACAAGGUCAGACCAUUGACUUACAGUGGGACUGAGACAAGGUCAGACCAUUGACUUACAGUGGGACUGAGACGAGGUCAGACCAUUGACUUACAGUGGGACUGAGACCAUUGAUUUACACCUGAUGGUGAUUUGGUUUUUACUAAAAGAAACCUCUCCACGAUCAGUAAAUCAACACGGCACGUCUUUGUCAACAAUGCUCAAAUUUGCCGCCAUCCUUGAUCUGCACAUGCUAGCGAAGGUUAGCAGUGGGUGCUAGCGAAGGUUAGCAGUGGGUGCUAGCGAAGGUUAGCAGUGGGUAUGGGCUAAUUGCUGGGGUACAUGGUAGGUAGAGAGACCGGGUGGUGGGUAGCUGUGGUCGAGAGAGUCAGACAGACAAGCAGAGAGAGAGAGAGAGACCCGCUAAGUGAGGGGGGGGGAUUAACUCUUCUAAUAUGGAGGGAAGCACUUUCAUCAGAGGAGCCAGUGGGCGGAGCCUCUGGGACAGGUAUGAUUGACGUAGGUGUGAUUGUGGCCGGGUUUUCUUUCCACUUGUAAACGGGUUCCGAGUUCAUUUGAGGAAAACAACAACAACAACACCGUUUUUGUUUUUGUUUUUUAAAAGCAGUGUCUGAACUGAGCGAGACAAACGAAGACGCUGGAAGCUUUGUGUGUCUGUCUCUCUGCUGUCGUCUCUCAACCACGCGGAGAGCAAAGACGAUCGGGAGGGAGGACAGAGAUCAAGCUACUCGUCAACUUUGAAGGGAAUAGAUAUCUCAGUAGAUUUAUACAUAGACAUGCAAGUCAUUUUUUCUCUCUUUGAAGUUAUUUACAAUAAUUACAUAACACAAAUAAUCCAGUUUCAUUUUGACAAAAUUGCGAGCAUUCAAUAUUCAAUAUUACUAGUAUUAUUUAUUAUAGCAUAACUCCUUUUGUACUUCAUUGCUAUUACAGAAUCAUUACACCCUUUUUAAAAGUCGCCCUCUGUUUUUUGCAAAUGUUUUCCUGCAUUAAUAUUUGUCAUUUAUGGUAAUAAUAAUAAUAAUAAUAAUGAGGAUAAUAGCAAUGUCAUUUAAGUUUCCUACUUGCUGUGACAGGGAAUGUGUGGGCGUGGCCUAGCUUAUUGCCCCUCCCCCAUGACUCCUCCCCUCUCCCUACAAAGGAUAAAUAACUAUGAUUGGAACCCAAUCGUGCGAUGGAGAGCGAGCAGAAUGAAGCAAACAACAAACAAGUAAACAAACGCCUCCACUUCAUAAUCAUCAACAGGUUGUUGUUUUUCACUGAGAAACGAUUCUUCAGGAAGACAAAAAUCAUCACGUUGAAAGAGUUUAAUCGUCCGAGCUACAGAAAGUCUCCUUUCAGCACCCGUGUGCGGCGCUACACGCGGUCACUUCCACACAGGCUAGCGGCCAGCGGCUAGCAGCUAGCGGCUAACGGCUAACGGCGAGUCAAUCUUUGGCAACCAAACUCUCUCUUUAUGAUUUUAUUUUGCUUCCCGCUGUCAAAAAAACUGUAGAGCCAACAGAAGUGGUCGUGGUUUCACACACACACACACACACACACACACACACACACACACACACACACAGCUAUAGAAACGCAGUAUGUUGAUGUACGAUUUAUAUAUAUAAAUUGUAUAAAAGCAAAUCUCAAAUCCCAAACAAAAGGUGACUAAUUUUGCAUCAAAACAUUACGACUUUUGUCCGCUGCUUCACUCGAGUCCUUGAACGGGUUCCAGACAAACCAGACGAGAAGAAGAAACAGACUAACGAGCCAGAAGAACAUCUAAACCCUAAAAAGGUGACAUGAGCGCAGGAACCGACAGAACAAUACAAACAAAUGAAGAAGAACAGCGAAAUCUUUAAAUAGAAGAAAGCACCACGUGGCCUCGGCCUCGAGUAGAGAAGCUAAUAUGCUAAUUAUCAUAAUUGAUGCUCAUGAGUAAAGGAAAGGGGGGCGCGCAGCGGCUUGGGGGCCGUUGUUGUUGUUUAGUAACAUUUAGAGGUUUUGUUACGACAUAUUUUUACUGUUUGUAACAAAUAUCUUUAUUAAGUUUAAACUUUGUGCUCUUUGAUUUUGGCGCAAAUCAUUUUUUGAUUACAUGAAGGGGGCGCUUUGGUUUGAAUGUUAAUAAAUAAUAACAGCGAUCAUAGCGUCCUAUAAAUAUGUUGGAUCUCUUCUUCCAUCUGUCAACAAUGAAAACAAACAAACAAAAGUGGAAUUCAUCAAGCGGCUUCGCACAUCUAAACCAACUGGACGCGCACAGGUUGAACCGGGUUCACUGACAGGAGGCCCGAGGGGGCCGGGGGGCCCAAUAACACACAACACGCAUCCAUGGAAGCAAACAGCACACAGAUGGUAACCGAGGUAAUCCGGGGGGGUGACAGGGGUUGGAGGUCACUGACGGGGGCAAAGAUGGCUGUAAGUAACGGCAGCAUAUUUCAAAAGUUCUGCUUUGAAAAGUUCCCCUCAGUCCUUCUAACUCCGACCAAGUGACCAACUAAUCACGUGUUUAACCUUUGAGAUUCAAAACCAGCCGAGAUCGCAAGUAGGAACAAGUAGUCAGCUAACGUGCUAAUGUGCAACCCAACAUCAGGUCGGCUGAGCGGUAAAGUGCUCGACAUGGAGGGCAGGUUGAGGGUGGGGUACAAAAAACACCAUCAUGCAAACUCCACAACGCUUGCAUGCCUUUUUUAUUACCAUUGUUAUUAUUGAUGUGAUCAGUAUAAUCAUCGUUACACACGGCGGGGGGGCGAGGGCCCCCGGGGACGGGAGCUCUCAGGCUCUCAGGCUCAAUACUCUUUUUUUUCCGUACAACCAACGACACAAACAGGAAAAAGGAAGACAGAAGGGCGAAAAUCACAGGAACGUCACAGGAAACACAGCAAGAGACCCUCAUGCCGCUGCUCUGCCUUCCGCCGGCUAAACAUCGGAACGCCCACAACAACCGCCCACAACAACCGCCCACAACCGCCCACAACAACCGCUCACAACAACCGCCCACAACAACCGCCCACAACCGCCCACUACAACCGCCCACAACAAUCGCCCACAACAACCGCCCACAACAACCCGCCCACAACAACCGCCCACAACCGCCCACAACAACCGCCCACAACAACCGCCCACAACCGCCCACAACCGCCCACAACGACCGCCCACCGUGAUCUUUAGAGGGAAACCCAACAUGGUUUGAGAGCUCCGCGGAGACACCUGGGAAAUGUAGUUAAAACAACUGGUUAAAUCCCUUUGUGAACAGAUUCAGUGUCUGUUGUACAUCUAAAAAACACUCAGAAAGACGGGAUGAAUCUACCAACACUACAGCAGAGAAAAGUGCUUCAUUCUACAUCUACGGAUCUACACGUCUACUGGACUGAUGCUGCUCGGAGGGCUCGUGUUUGCUAAGCUUUGGUCAACACAGAAAUUUUGGUUUUGGGAAGUAAAAGAAUAAAAGAAAAAGUCCCACAUCCACUCUUCUCCAAACCUGGAGCUCAAAGCCCUCGUUUCUUUAUUUAAUCUAGCGACAAAUAUCACAGACAUCGAUGGGUAACGGCGCUAAUCACUAUCUAUCACUACGACGCCCAAAGACACACGUGUUCAACAAGCAGCUCCGCUCAGCGACCGGAAGGAGCCUCGUCGGGACGUAAAGACGUCCAGAGGAGCCUAAAGACGCGUAAAGACGUCCAGAGGAGCCUAAAGACG
ensembl:lncRNA